rnacentral:rRNA from 1 species
GUGCCAGCAGCCGCGGUAAUACGUAGGUGGCAAGCGUUGUCCGGAAUUAUUGGGCGUAAAGGGCGUGUAGGCGGGAUAAUAAGUCUGUUGUAAAAGUGCGGGGCUCAACCCCGUAAGGUCAAUGGAAACUGUUAUUCUUGAGUGCAGGAGAGGAAAGUGGAAUUCCCAGUGUAGCGGUGAAAUGCGUAGAUAUUGGGAGGAACACCAGUGGCGAAGGCGACUUUCUGGACUGUGUCUGACGCUGAGGCGCGAAAGCCAGGGGAGCGAACGGGAUUAGAUACCCCGGUAGUCCUGGCCGUAAACGAUGGGUACUAGGUGUAGGAGGUAUCGACCCCUUCUGUGCCGGAGUUAACGCAAUAAGUACCCCGCCUGGGGAGUACGGCCGCAAGGUUGAAACUUAAAGGAAUUGACGG